CUAACCUGGUUGAUCCUGCCAGUACUCAUACGCUUCUCUCAAAGAUUAAGCCAUGCAUGUCUAAGUAUAAGCACUUAUACCGUGAAACUGCGUACGGCUCAUUAAAUCAGUUAUAGUUCAAUUGAUAGUACCUACUACUUGGAUAACCGUAGUAAUUCUAGAGCUAAUACAUGCGAUAAACCCUGACUGCUUGC
rnacentral:rRNA from 1 species